AGUGAACGCUGGCGGUAGGCCUAACACAUGCAAGUCGAACGGCAGCACAGAGGAGCUUGCUCCUUGGGUGGCGAGUGGCGGACGGGUGAGGAAUACAUCGGAAUCUACUCUGUCGUGGGGGAUAACGUAGGGAAACUUACGCUAAUACCGCAUACGACCUACGGGUGAAAGCAGGGGAUCUUCGGACCUUGCGCGAUUGAAUGAGCCGGUGUCGGAUUAGCUAGUUGGCGGGGUGAAGGCCCACCAAGGCGACGAUCCGUAGCUGGUCUGAUAGGAUGAGCAGCCACACUGGAACUGAGACACGGUCCAGACUCCUACGGGAGGCAGCAGUGGGGAAUAUUGGACAAUGGGCGCAAGCCUGAUCCAGCCAUACCGCGUGGGUGAAGAAGGCCUUCGGGUUGUAAAGCCCUUUUGUUGGGAAAGAAAUCCAUCUGGUUAAUACCCGGGUGGGAUGACGGUACCCAAAGAAUAAGCACCGGCUAACUUCGUGCCAGCCGCCGCCGUAA
rnacentral:rRNA from 1 species